rnacentral:lncRNA from 1 species
UGAAGGAUAAGGUUAGCGUUGGUCUUCACUUAGGAAAAUAAGACUUGCUGUUUAGGCUUUCAAUCAUCACAUGUUAAACAAGUGGGAGCUUCGAUUUUUUUUCUAAUCUUCUUAUCUAAAAUCCACAAGUUUAUAAUAGUGUGAACCAAAGGAAAAAUGGGGAAGAAAAAGAAAAUUCACUAACUUGCUUGAACAUUAUCACAUCAUAAACUUGCCAAGGAUAUUUCUUAUAGGAAACCCUGCAUGCUUCUUGUAGCAAAGAAAAUAUGGUAAAGAUCUAGUGGCAUCAGAGGGCACUGCUUUCAAGCCACAGUAGCGUGAGUCGGCCAGGCACUGUGCAAGGCCCUUUCCCCAGCACCCAUAAAGAGGAACUAACAGUUACUCUUUCAGUCCUACAUUAUGUAUAAUCUUUUAUUUGGGAUAUGUAAGCCAUAACAAAUUUCAGAGAUGUAUCUAGAGAUUUUAAGUACAUCAUGUCUUGUGACACAGAUUGUUGGAAUUGGUCCACGACAAUUAUUUCAUAAAAAUAAUCGCAACUUAAGAAGCUAACAUCAUAUAGAAAUCAUGCUGCUGUUUUAUCAGUGGGGCUCCAUUACUUUAUAUUUUAUUUUUUAUCAGUUAUGAGCUUAGUUUUAUUUUAACUAUACAAUUCUGAGCAAGGAUCAACAUUGCAGUGAGAGAAAGAGAGAGAAUGUGAGUUGUUAGCCAAGUCACACUUGUGCUUGUAGAGAUAGGUGUCUCUCCCUCCAUUCACAUCUGUCUCAGACUCUGCAGACUUUACUCUCUUAGAAAAACAUAGCAAAAGCUUUUAUUUAGCAGCAGAUGCAUCGGUAGAGAGGGAGGUGAAGUUUAGUCUGGCUUCUCAAGAAAAUUAAAUUUCCUUUUUUUGUGUGUUUCAGAACAUUGUAUUCAAGGGCUUGUGGAAGGGCUGGAGAGGCCUACACUAUCUACUCCUCAGAGGAGAUGGUCAAGGUUUCCCUGUCACUAAAAGCUAAAUGCACUUUUCUUAAGACAAAAAAGAAGUUUAAUAUAGACCAUUAAAGUAUCUGCAAUGUUAUGUUAGGCCAUGUUUAGGAAAUUUUUUUUAAUUCGAUUUUAACAUUUUUUAACAAAUACAAUUUAAAUUUUCUUUCAUUUGUACAUGAAUUAUACAGACGGACAUUUUAAAAACCAAAUUUGCCUACUUAAAAAAAGUAAGCUCUUUUACCUGUAUUGUAAAAACAAGCAUUUAAUCAGUGUUUGGUCAUCUUCUCUUCUGACUAAUGAGCUACUUUAAGUCUUACUAGUAACAAGCCAACCUUUGCUACCAACAAUGAUCUAGCAGACUUGGUCACCUAGGAAGAAGACCCUGAAAAGACCUUUCUCUCUUGCUUAUGAUUUCAGUUAAGAAUGCAAAUUGCACAUCAGACUUUGAGGAAUACUUUGCCAAAAGAAAACUGGAGGAAAGAGAUGGCCACGCAGUGAGCAUCGAAGAGUACCUUCAGCGAAGCGACACGGCCAUUAUUUACCCAGAAGCCCCUGAGGAGCUGUCUCGCCUUGGCACGCCAGAGGCCAACGGGCAAGAAGAAAAUGGUAAGGCUGUAAUUCAUUUUUAGCCGCGAUACUGACCUCUGCAGCUGUUAGAAUUACAAAUGCACUACAUGCCUGGGUGUUUACCUUAAAAUUUGAAGAACAGCUGCAGAGGCAUGGAAUUUCAUGAGCAAAGAUUAGAACUGUAAUUUUAGGGUAUUGUGAAAUUUUUUUUUGUCAGCAAAUUUGUGUCAUUUGUACAUCCAAUACAGAAUAAGAACAAUUACAGCCCAUUUCUAAGAGAUAAAAAUAUCUAAAUGUAUUCCAAUCUUUCAGAGAUAUUUUACUUUUGAGG